GACGAACGCUGGCGGCGUGCUUAACACAUGCAAGUCGAACGGUAAGGCCCUUCGGGGUACACGAGUGGCGAACGGGUGAGUAACACGUGGGUGAUCUGCCCUGCACUUCGGGAUAAGCCUGGGAAACUGGGUCUAAUACCGGAUAGGACCACUGCCUGCAUGGGUGGUGGUGGAAAGCUUUUGCGGUGUGGGAUGGGCCCGCGGCCUAUCAGCUUGUUGGUGGGGUGAUGGCCUACCAAGGCGACGACGGGUAGCCGGCCUGAGAGGGUGACCGGCCACACUGGGACUGAGAGACGGCUCAGACUCCUACGGGAGGCAGCAGUGGGGAAUAUUGCACAAUGGGCGCAAGCCUGAUGCAGCGACGCCGCGUGAGGGAUGACGGCCUUCGGGUUGUAAACCUCUUUCAGCACCGACGAAGCGCAAGUGACGGUAGGUGCAGAAGAAGGACCGGCCAACUACGUGCCAGCCGCCGCCGUAA
rnacentral:rRNA from 1 species